CCUACGGGAGGCAGCAGUCGGGAAUAUUGCGCAAUGGAGGAAACUCUGACGCAGUGACGCCGCGUGCAGGAAGAAGGUUUUCGGAUUGUAAACUGCUUUAGACAGGGAAGAAACAAGACAGUACCUGUAAAAUAAGCUCCGGCUAACUACGUGCCAGCAGCCGCGGUAAUACGUAGGGAGCAAGCGUUAUCCGGAUUUAUUGGGUGUAAAGGGUGCGUAGACGGGAAGUCAAGUUGGUUGUGAAAUCCCUCGGCUUAACUGAGGAACUGCAACCAAAACUAACUUUCUUGAGUGCUGGAGAGGAAAGUGGAAUUCCUAGUGUAGCGGUGAAAUGCGUAGAUAUUAGGAGGAACACCAGUGGCGAAGGCGACUUUCUGGACAGUAACUGACGUUGAGGCACGAAAGUGUGGGGAGCAAACAGGAUUAGAUACCCGAGUAGUC
rnacentral:rRNA from 1 species